UUGAACGCUGGCGGCAGGCCUAACACAUGCAAGUCGCGCGGAUGAAGGGAGCUUGCUCCUGGAUUCAGCGGCGGACGGGUGAGUAAUGCCUAGGAAUCUGCCUGGUAGUGGGGGAUAACGUCCGGAAACGGGCGCUAAUACCGCAUACGUCCUGAGGGAGGAAGUGGGGGAUCUUCGGACCUCACGCUCUCAGAUGAGCCUAGGUCGGAUUAGCUAGUUGGUGGGGUAAAGGCCUACCAAGGCGACGAUCCGUAACUGGUCUGAGAGGAUGAUCAGUCACACUGGAACUGAGACACGGUCCAGACUCCUACGGGAGGCAGCAGUGGGGAAUAUUGGACAAUGGGCGAAAGCCUGAUCCAGCCAUGCCGCGUGUGUGAAGAAGGUCUUCGGAUUGUAAAGCACUUUAAGUUGGGAGGAAGGGCAGUAAGUUAAUACCUUGCUGUUUUGACGUUACCAACAGAAUAAGCACCGGCUAACUUCGUG
rnacentral:rRNA from 1 species